AUUGAACGCUGGCGGCAUGCCUAACACAUGCAAGUCGAGCGGAGCGGCGGACGGGUGAGUAAUUCCUAGGAAUCUGCCUGGUCGUAGGGUCUAACGUUCGGAAACGGACGCUAAUACCGCAUACUAUCAGAUGAGCCUAGGUCGGAUUAGCUAGUUGGUGCGGUAAUGGCUCACCAAGUCUACGAUCCGUAACUGGUCUGAGAGGAUGAUCAGUCACACUGGAACUGAGACACGGACCAGACUCGUACGUGAGGCAGCAGUGGGGAAGAUUGGACAAUGGGCGAAAGCCUGAUCGAGCCAUGCCGCGUGGGUGAAGAAGGUCUUCGGAUUGUAAAGCACUUUAAGUUGGGAGGCGGUACCGACAGAAUAAGCACCGGCUAACUCUGUGCCAGCAGCCGCGGUAAUAC
rnacentral:rRNA from 1 species